rnacentral:rRNA from 1 species
GAUGAACGCUAGCGGCAGGCCUAAUACAUGCAAGUCGAACGGUGUCUUCGGACAUAGUGGCGCACGGGUGCGUAACACGUAUGCAACCUACCUUACAUUGGGGGAUAGCCUUUCGAAAGGGAGAUUAAUACCGCAUAAGACAGUAGCUGGGCAUCCAGCACCUGUUAAAGAUUUAUCGAUGUAAGCUGGGCAUGUGUCCAAUUAGCUAGUUGGUGAGGUAACGGCUCACCAAGGCAAUGAUUGGUAGGGGAACUGAGAGGUCAAUCCCCCACACUGGCACUGAGAUACGGGCCAGACUCCUACGGGAGGCAGCUGUAGGGAAUAUUGGGCAAUGGACGCAAGUCUGACCCAGCCAUGCCGCGUGCGGGAUGAAGGCGUUAUGCGUUGUAAACUGCUUUUAUACAGGAAGAAACGACUCUUGCGAGAGGCAUUGACGGUACUGUAUGAAUAAGCACCGGCUAACUCCGUGCCAGCCGCCGCUGUAAUAC